UUGGAGGGCAAGUCUGGUGCCAGCAGCCGCGGUAAUUCCAGCUCCAAUAGCGUAUAUUAAAGUUGUUGCAGUUAAAAAGCUCGUAGUUGAGUUUCGGGACCAAUUUGUUGGUCGUGCCUCGGUACGUACUGGUAUUAUUGGUUUCUCCCUUCUGAAGAACCUUGAUGUCAUUAAUUUGGUGUCUUGGGGAACCAGGACUGUUACUUUGAAAAAAUUAGAGUGUUUAAAGCAGGCAUACGCUUGAAUACAUUAGCAUGGAAUAAUGAAAUAGGACGUUUGAUUCUAUUUUGUUGGUUUCUAGGAUCGACGUAAUGAUUAAUAGGGAUAGUUGGGGGCAUUAGUAUUCAAUUGUCAGAGGUGAAAUUCUUGGAUUUAUUGAAGACUAACUACUGCGAAAGCAUUUGCCAAGGAUGUUUUCAUUAAUCAAGAACGAAAGUUAGGGGAUCGAAGACGAUCAGAUACCGUCGUAGUCUUAACUAUAAACUAUGCCGACUAGGGAUCGGAUGAUGUUAAUUUUUUAAUGACUCAUUCGGCGCCUUACGGGAAACCAAAGUGUUUGGGUUC
rnacentral:rRNA from 1 species